UUGCUAAGUAGUCACUUCCUAGAUAAAAGGAGCAAGUUGCAGAGAAAGAUCUAAACGAAGUUCUUGCCAACAAAAGUCUGACCAAAUUUCCAAUUACUGGGAGCAAUCCAGCGAGAGCUGCACUUGUGUGAUAUCUCCAGCUCCUCCAACAUUCCACACUGAUACCAGAUUAAAAUAAGGAUUCCCAGUGAUAGUGAACCGAAUUCCUCCUUUCUUCUUGCACGGUACCCUGCAAAAUUGUUUGGCCAAAUCAAAGUGUUCGCGUGGUGGGUUGCACCAUCCUCCAUUAUCACCAGGUAUAUCGUAGUUUGGAGGGCAAAGAUUGGUUCCCGUCACAAAAAUAGAGGAUUUCCCUGCCUUACAUCCUGCACGAGAAUUUACACAUUUGAUCUCGUAACAUGCACCGCAUGUCUGUCCAUCCUUGAACAAAACUGAACUCAAUGCUGUCGUAUCUAGGCCAUAGCCAUCCUUAACCACAUCAUCGUACCCACAAGCUCCACCUGCAUGCAAUGUGAUCAGGUUUCAUUAAGAAGAUACUCGUAACAACUUUACGUACAUAGUAUUGGUACAUGCAUUUAUUUCAAUGAGUUUUUAUAUUAUAACACAUCUUUUAUUUUGAACAUGGUAAAAAAAUUUAGACUGAAUAGCUUUAGAUAUAAGUAAUGAAAUCAGGUAAGAAAUAUUGUACCAAAUGUUUUAGUGUCUCCAUCGUAGAAGGUUGCAAGAGCUUUCUUCCAUCCAGUAGGCUUAAAAAUUGGACGAUGAUGUCUGAGUUCACCUUUCUUGUUAUAUUUGUUAUUGCUUUUGCCAGCAGCAUGGACAUUAGGAAGUGAGAAUGCUACA